rnacentral:rRNA from 1 species
GACGAACGCUGGCGGCGUGCUUAACACAUGCAAGUCGAACGGAAAGGCCCUGCUUUUGUGGGGUGCUCGAGUGGCGAACGGGUGAGUAACACGUGAGUAACCUGCCCUUGACUUUGGGAUAACUUCAGGAAACUGGGGCUAAUACCGGAUAGGAGCUCCUGCUGCAUGGGGGGGGUUGGAAAGUUUCGGCGGUUGGGGAUGGACUCGCGGCUUAUCAGCUUGUUGGUGGGGUAGUGGCUUACCAAGGCUUUGACGGGUAGCCGGCCUGAGAGGGUGACCGGCCACAUUGGGACUGAGAUACGGCCCAGACUCCUCCGGGGGGCAGCAGUGGGGAAUAUUGCACAAUGGGCGGAAGCCUGAUGCAGCAACGCCGCGUGCGGGAUGACGGCCUUCGGGUUGUAAACCGCUUUCGCCUGUGACGAAGCGUGAGUGACGGUAAUGGGGAAAGAAGCACCGGCUAACUACGU